rnacentral:pre_miRNA from 1 species
GUUAGAACGGGAUAUUGGUCCGGUUCAAUAAGAAAGCGGGCGUUUGAAAGUGCGUCAAACCCUACUUUUUGAUUGAGCCGUGCCAAUAUCGCGUGCCAUGGC